GGGUGAGUAACACGUAUGUAACCUGCCCUCUGCAGGGGGAUAAGCGGAAGAAAUUCCGUCUAAUACCGCAUAAUACAAUUUGGAGACAUCUCCGGGUUGUCAAAGGAGUGAUCCGGCAGAGGAUGGACAUGCGGCGCAUUAGCUAGUCGGCGGGGUAACGGCCCACCGAGGCUACGAUGCGUAGGGGUUCUGAGAGGAAGGUCCCCCACACUGGUACUGAGACACGGACCAGACUCCUACGGGAGGCAGCAGUGAGGAAUAUUGGUCAAUGGGCGGAAGCCUGAACCAGCCAAGUCGCGUGAGGGAAGACGGUCCUAUGGAUUGUAAGCCUCUUUUGCAGGGGAACAAGGCGCGGUACGUGUACCGCGAAGGAGAGUACCCUGAGAAAAAGCAUCGGCUAACUCCGUGCCAGCAGCCGCGGUAAUACGGAGGAUGCGAGCGUUAUCCGGAUUUAUUGGGUUUAAAGGGUGCGCAGGCGGACUGUUAAGUCAGCGGUAAAAUGUCGGUGCUCAACACCGGCCGGCCGUUGAAACUGGCAGCCUUGAGUGAGCGAGAAGUAUGCGGAAUGCGUGGUGUAGCGGUGAAAUGCAUAGAUAUCACGCAGAACUCCGAUUGCGAAGGCAGCAUACCGGCGCUCAACUGACGCUCAGGCACGAAAGCGUGGGUAUCGAACAGGCUUAGAUACCCUGGUAGUCCACGCAGUAAACGAU
rnacentral:rRNA from 1 species